rnacentral:rRNA from 1 species
AUGGCUUGCUACCUGUGCAACCCAUACCCUCACCUCCCUGCAUGCACUACAAUCAUUGCUCCGGGCCCUAAACAAGCGCAGCGAGGCUACGUCAUCCUCGGCGGUGAGCUUCCCAUGGUCUGUGAUGAGUGGGCGAUAGCUACUCUGGUUCCGGCUGUUCCACCUGAAGAUUUCCCUGCCGCCAAUGCAAUGAUCAUUAAGUACCUCGAAGCCAAGGGAUGGAGGGUCAACUACUCUUCCAGAUGUGGUAUGGGUACUGCUCUGAUCCAAUUUACUACUGCAUGUUCGAGAGAUUCUGCCAUUAAUAAUAGUCCAUAUGAGAUUGGAGACUCUGUUCUUUGCAUUACCAGGCAUGAUAGGAGUUUGAACUACCGUAGCAUCACUUUUACCCAUGAUGUUUGGCUCAUGUUAAUGAACUAUCCACUGGAAUGCUGGGAGGUUGGAGUUGUUAGCCGCACUGUAUCUCAAUACGGCAGAUUUCUGAUCUGGAACAAUGACCCGAGAGACAAAACCAAGAUUAUUGUUAAGGUCAGAGUGAUGAAUGUGGAUACUUUACCCGUCAGUAUUGUUGUUCUGCGCAAUCUGGAUGAUGUUGGGUAUGGUGAUUCUUGGACUUGUCCCACCUAUAUUCUUUCUCGUGAGCUCAUUGGCCAGCUUGGUGGUGAUGAAGAUCCCCUCCCCCCAGAUGGAGGAAACCCACAUCCUCUCCCGCAUGUUCAGGAUGGUUUUUGGCACGACGAUGUUCUUGGCAACAUCCCCAUGGAACAGGUUGUUAUCAAUCCGCACAAUGAGCAUCUUGGAGCUCUUUAUGAGGAUGUUUAUGCACCUGCUACUGCUGACAAUGCCAACAUUAAUCUGAAUGAGGUGUUACCCACUGCCGCACAGGCGCCCAAUGAGGGAGUGCAAGAGGAUCAGAUGGAUUUUAUCCCUGUGCCUGCUGAUGGAUCUUAG